rnacentral:rRNA from 1 species
AAACCCGAAAGGUCGAAGGGAGAAAUUCAUUCGCGUUUCGCAGUCGGCGUGAGGCGAUCGAGUGACGGAAUGCGUCUUCGGAUGUUUUCUGCACCUUUUGUUUUUCGAUCCGAUAGCGAACGCGUGCACUUUUCUCCUGGUAGGACGUCGCGAUCCGUUGGGUGUCGGUCUACGGCUCACGGUGGAGCCCGGAUGUACGGCUUGCCGUCACGUCCGGACCCGUGUGUCCCGGCUGACUCGCUCGACGGUAUACGAAAGGUUUAAGGCCGCUCUMGCGAGCGUUCGGCUCGUCGCAAGCGCGUUAAAUGUGUCGGUGAUCGGACCUAGUGCCGGUCCUGACCUUUGACGACUGUUGGCGGCGAAGUUCUCGAACAGUGCUUUAACCAAUCUGCGACGCUAUAGCUUUGGGUACUUUCAGGACCCGUCUUGA